ensembl:lincRNA
CCCAGAUGGUGAGCAGUGCCUGGGGCUCCGCAUCCUUCCUCCCUGCCAAGGCCUCUGUGUGGACGCGUGGCUGCGCGGGCUGCCGGGCCACCUCAGGUGUCUCCGGUGACCUCCGUGCACCUGCUCCUUUCUUUUCCAUCUGCUGCCGGGAGGCCUCAGACUUCCAGGAAGAGGUCACUGACGUGUGCUUUGAUUUUUAUGGCCAGAUCCACAGGAAUGAUUACCGUUCGUUUCAUCUUCUCCUGAGAAGAGGCUUUGUGUGUUUGGAAAAGAACAGUGUGUCGGCAAGGUGGGGCUCGCUGAAUCCGAGGAACGCGGUGGCCACGCCUGUCCAGCCCUGCCGUCCUGGAGGUGGGCUGGGCCCUCCUCUCCCAGCUUGUUUCUCCCAUGCUGCGCACACGUGCGCAUGCGUGCACACUCUCUCUCACACCCCCUUGCCCCUCCCCUUCAGAGCAUCCUGCCUCGGUCGUGACCCACGGCCCUGCGGCUCUGGGCCUUGGGCACAGCCAGUGCUCAGAUGCAGCGACCCUGAGCAGAGGGCAGCCAGGAGCGAGGGCGCAGAGAACAUGGGCAACGCUGUCCUGCGGGCGCUCAGUGAGUCACCAGGUGUCUCUGGAUCAGAACACCGCAGCUGCAGGGGAGAGGCAGUGAGCCCCAGUUCUGAGGAAGCCCAAGUGCACAGCUCCAGGAGUGGUGAGUCAGCAGUGAAGGACCAGCUGAGAAGGCAGGUGUGCGGGACAGCCCACUCCACACCGGCACAUCCUGCCGUCACCCUGACCCGGUCACCUCCCGACAUCAGCGGCAGAGACAAGCUGCAGGUAAAGAACCUGGGGUGAGCUUCCAGACUCAGGGACCCCAGGGAGAGCCAGGGCUGGGCCUGUGGGCAGUGGGACAGGGAGGGGGACCUGCGGCCACGGGAGGGGCUGGGUCACCCCAAGGCCACGCCGUGCACACGCAGCAGCCUCUUCCGGUGCUCUCGGUGGGAGCACUGUGUGUGCAGAAGUGCGGGGAACGGGCUCCUGCAGGCUGGAGCAGGAAGAUUCGCUUGGGGAGCCUCAGAGUCUGCCCUGUUCGGACCUCAGAAGCAGCCCAGAGUCGCAGCCGGGGGAGGUGCAGUGGGCCGCAGGCUUCAGGAACGGCAAACAGUCGUCAGGGCCUGGAGCGCGGCCUCAAAGCGUGGGUCCAGCAGGAGAAGCCACAAACGAGCCCUGGGGUUGGGGGCCAGGGGAGCUAAGGCCUCGGGCAGCGACGCAUCAGCCCCUGUUUCAGGGAGGGAGGUGUCUCCUCCGGGGAUAACACGAGGCGGCAUGAGGAGCUGGGCCCGAGCACGUGACCGGAGGAGGCGGGGAGAGCCGAAGGAGCUCAGGGAGGGAGCGCGCCCCCCACGCAGCCCCCUGCCCCUUCCUUGUGUUUCCGAUCACAGCUGCGGGGGCUGCCGGGCCCUCCCAAGCCCGAGUGAGUGGCCCCUGCCUCCCGGGGCCUCCCGGGGCCUCCCGGGGCCUGCAGCCUUCGCACGCAGUGUGCACGGCGACCCUGGAGGCCACAGAGCAGGCGGGCCGCGCCCACGCCGGUCCCUGCACCCAGCCAGACGCAGGAUAAGAAGUCACACGGGGAGCCGGCCGCUCUGAGUCACAUCCUCUCCCCUGUGAUAAGGAGUUCCUCCUUCCAGGGGCCCUGGGCCGGGCCUUGGAAGCAGCAACGGCCUUCAGCAGGCUUGGAGGGCGCUGGGCUGCGUGAGCUGCUGACCACAUCCUCCGAGGAGGGCAGGAAAGAGCCCUGUUACCUCCCGUCCUCUGCUGUCCUCUGAGGAUGGACUCCCAGGAGCGUAUCUCCCACGGUCCUCGGCUGGCAAGGCCAGGGAGGGUCAAGAAGCAGCAGGAGGGGGUGGGGCCUGUCCCCUGCCCCCCUCAGUGACACCACCCCGCCGUGUACCACCUGUCACCGGAGCACUGCCAAGGGCUUCAGCUUCUGCACCUGAACUCCGAGGAGUCCCGAGUGUUAAAAGGGCUUUGUGUCAGGGACGUUUCCCUUACACAGCCGACGUGCGCCGGAGAUGCAGCGGUCUGCCACACCGACUCUCGCUGCCUUGGCGGGAGUGCCUGUCGCCUGCCCGGAGCCUGUGCUGUCACUGGGCCCCCGGGCGAGGCGCUGUGUGGGCUCACUCUCAGCGCUGCGCCUCCGUCCUAGGCACAGUUAAAAUCCGUAACCAAGCAGAGUGUGAAUAGAGGCAGCCGAGGAGGCUCACAGGGCCUGGUGCAGUCAGGCUCGGCUCGGCUCCCCUGCGUGGGGAGGGCUGGGAGAACCCAGGGGCCAAGAGCCUGCAGCAGAGAGGCAGAACCGUCAGAACCCAGUCUCCACCGGCCUCACCGGGCUGCGCCUCCCCAGGACUAAAGCGGCCCCAGCGAGCCUGGAUGUCCCCAGAGAGCUGGCUCCCUCUGCCCCGUCUUAGCGUGAGGUGGACAUCAGGCCAAAGAAAGGAAAGGAGAAUGGGCUUAGGCUUGAGUCCACCAUCGCCCCACCAGCUCUGGGCCGGUGGGAAAGCCGGGAGCCACGCUCAGGGGCCGGGGGAGAGGGAGGUACAUGAGCCCAUGGCUCCCGCUCUGCCGGUCAGGGAUGUGCGGCAGCUCUCCGGAGAGGCCUUUCUGCCUUACAAAAGCGGGGGAAAACUCAGUGAGGAGUUUUCCCAAUGAGCUGAUCUUAGUGACCGUUUGACAUCUGUUCCCGUCUUCUGACAAGGUUGACAGUGCUUUCAAGACGGAGAGGGCUGGGGCAGCACUCACAGGGACAGCACCUGCCCAGCCUGUGUGAGAGAUGAGAGAGAGCGGGGGAGAGAGACAGAGACACAGAGAGACGGACAGAGAGCGAGAGAGACAGAGACAGAGACAGAGAACACCGAGCGGCAGCCCCAGCUUGAGGCCGGGGUGUGAGGUUCUUCCCAUCUCUUAGGGCUCAGAGGUUGGUUGCGUCUCCUCAGCUCUGUGUUGGGGACCCUCGUCAACUUUACCCCUUCCCAGUCAGUCCUCAGCUUCCCCUCCUAACUCAGAACAGGUGUGUACUUGAGACGUCGUACAUGAGAACGAUGACCCGGCACUGACCCAGUGCCCGACUGUGUGUCCUCAGCAUUUCUGAGAUGGAUCAUUAUGAGCGUGAGGGUGUGUGUGUGUGUGCGCGCGCGCGCACCUGUGUGGUGCGGGGGGGGGUGGAGCCCCAAGCCUCCUCACACAUGCUAGGCAAGUGCUUUUCCACUGAGUUAUACCCCCGGCCUUUCUUUAUUUUUAUUUUGAGGCAGAGUCUUGCUAAGUUUCAGGGUUGGCCUGGAACUCACAAUUUUCCUGCCUCAGCCCCCUGAGUAGCUGGAUUACAGGUGUGCACGGCCUGCUGGCUUUGUGCAUCUGCCUUGGUAUUCUUGUGUGUUCCCCUCUGGCAGUCACAGCCUCUGUCCUUCACUGCCCCAUCAAACUCUAAAAAUGGACUCAUGCUGUGCACAACCGUGGAAAUAACUAACUUUCUUCCUUUUUCUCUUUUUCUUUCUCUCUUUUUCUUUCUCU